UCAGGGGCCUGUUGCACAAAAGUAGAAUUAAGACAUCCGGGAUAAAUGACUCAGCUGAGCUCAAUGAAGCCAAAACAUGUGCGUCCAGGCUUAAUUGGUUGCACAAAGACCAAGCCAGGAUGAGCAGACACGGAUUCAUUAAGCCAGGUGAAACCAAUCCUGGAUAGGUGCGCGCUCACGGCUCACUCAAAUAGACCCCGCCACAGAUCACAGAUUAACUGAUUUACCAUGGCAACUAGAGCCGCGUACUUUUCCCCUUCGGAAGCACAAAUCCUCAUGGAGGCAUACGAGGAGGUAAAAUAUAUAAUUAAGAAGAAAGGCAACACCGCCAUAGUGAUAAAGCAAAGAGAAAAAGCGUGGCAAAGUAUUGCAGACCGCCUGAAUGCAUUAAACAUGAACGGGCCAAAACGGACAUGGCAGCAGGUCAAAAUCAAAUACAAGAACAUUCUGCAGAAUGCAGUGAAAAAGAAUACCCACAGACAAGGCACGGGUGGUGGGUCACCAAAGGCUGACCUUACCCCAGCAGAGGACAUGGCCUUGGAGCUAAAUAAAGGCAGGCCCGUCUUAGAGGGGAUCCCUGGGGGAAAGAGACGAGCAUAGGUUCCUCCCAAGAUGCCACCCGCUUCAUUCAAGUGCCUGGCAGCACUGUGUUCCUGUUAGAGCCACCAGCACAAGCACCAGACGAUGCUGAUCCAGGUGAAGGCCCCAGUGCAGCAGCAACAGCACAUGAUGGAGACGAUGAUGAGGAGGAGACCAUCUCUCUGGAUUCCAGAAGGCAUGAGGACCCAGAUGCUAUACAGUGGGAAAACCAGCCUGGCAACAUAGUGCGUAUUAAUAAAAGGACACCACAUCCUGCCAAAUUCCAGCUGCGCUAAUUGUAUUGUGUUCACAGAGCUCACAAGCUAUCAGAAAGUUGUAUGGCAACCACCUUCGGCGCCAAAUAGAACUGGCAGACAUAGACAUUCAGUACAAGAAGAAAAAGAUGGAAAAUCUUGCACUGGAGUCCGAAAUAAAAAAAAGAGGACAAUUAGGAAACUGGACCUUGAAAUAAAAAAACUUGAGAGGGAGCUCCAAGAAGAUGACACAGCUCAAAAUAAAAAUUAGGUAUAUUCUCGUAAAGUCAAGUGAGCCAUGACAUAUGAGCUCUUAUUGUGAGCACACAGGACGGUGGCAUCUUUCUAAGGUUUUUUUUUAUUUUCCCAGCAAUCAGUACAACCAAGUCAUCGUUAUAAGGCAUCGCCCUCUUUUGCCCACCCCCCAGCACCAGGUGUGGCCACUAGCCUAUAUGAAGGCCCAAAAUUGUGUGUUCCUUUCUGCUCUGACAAUGGCAUGCCCAUUCGUGCGAGAUGUGGUGGAUGAAGAAGCACUUGUGCUGAGGAGAGCCUUCAGGCGAGAAAGGGUCUUCAGGGACCGGUUGGACCCACUGGCCUUCCCUGAUGACCAUCUAUAUGAAAGAUACAGGUUUUCUGCAGAUGGCAUCAGGUAUCUAUGCAGACUACUGGGUCCCAGGAUUAAGCACCGCACUGCACGGAGCCAUGCACUGAGUGUGGAGCAAAUGGUUUGUGUGGCCUUGCGCUUUUUUGCUAGUGGAGCCUUCCUGUACUCAGUGGGGGAUGCAGAACAGCUGAACAAGGCCACAAUUUGCCGCACAAUUAGGAGUGUGUGUCUGGCUAUCAAAGCAUUAGCAGAUGUCUUCAUCUCCUUCCCUGGCCACAGAAGACUCUGUGACAUCAAAGAGGAGUUCUAUAGGAUUGCAGAUGGUCUGCAAUGCUGACUGUGUGAUCAGCAAUGUUGUGGCAAAAUGGCCUGGCUCAGUCCAUGACUCCAGAAUCUUUCGGGCCUCUGAAAUCUAUCAGUGCCUAUCACAAGGUGAAUUCUCUGGUGUGUUGCUGGGAGACAGGGGGUAUGGCUGCCAGCCUUUUCUCCUGACACCUUUCACAGACCCCCAGGAAGCACAGCAGGCCUACAACCAUGCCCAUGCCAGGACCAGGGCCAGAGUUUAAAUGACCUUUGGCCUCCUGAAGGCACGCUUUCACUGCCUUCACAAAUUAAGGGUCAGCCCUGUUAGGGCAUGUGAUAUUACUGUGGCUUGUGCUGUCCUCCACAAUGUGGCCUGCCUGAGGAAGGAGAGGGCCCCCAGAGUGCCACCAGCCAUGGACUGGGACAAUCCGGCAAUCUUCCCUGAUGACGACAGUGGUCGGCUGCUGAGGGACCAAUAUGUGUUGAAUUAUUUUAGUUGGUAUGUGUGCUUUCAAUUUUGGUUAAAUAUGUCCUGCGGUGGCAGAGGAAUUUGUUUUUUUUUGGGUUCGUUUUUUGACGAAUUUGGCCUCUUAUGAUGUUUGUGCGGUAUACUGUGUGUAAUACAAGGCUGCAGGGAGGCUACUGCAUCCAUUCAUUUGUCUGUUCAGUUGAUGUGUAUGGAUUUGUCCUGCAUUUAUUUUAGUGUGCAGACAUGCAGGGUGUGUUAUAUACAGACCUUUGAAUGUGUAUGUAUCAUUUUGUAUAAUAUGCUUGGAUUCUGUGCUUUCCAUCUUGUAGAGUCACUGUGACUUCAGUUUCGAAAGGAGCUGAUGGUUUACCUGCUUUGUUUUGUCCUUAUUCAAUAAAGGAACAUAAUGUUACACAUUGUGUUUUUAUAUUCAUA